rnacentral:rRNA from 1 species
CGAGCGCAACCCUCGCCUUUAGUUACCAUCAUUUAGUUGGGGACUNUAAAGGANCCGCCGGUGAUAAGCCGGAGGAAGGUGGGGAUGACGUCAAGUCCUCAUGGCCCUUACGCGCUGGGCUACACACGUGCUACAAUGGCGGUGACAGUGGGCAGCAAUCCUGCAAGGGUGAGNUAAUCUCCAAAAGCCGUCUCAGUUCGGAUUGCACUCUGCAACUCGAGUGCAUGAAGGCGGAAUCGCUAGUAAUCGCGGAUCAGCAUGCCGCGGUGAAUACGUUCCCAGGCCUUGUACACACCGCCCGUCACACCAUGGGAGUUGGGUUCACCCGAAGGCGUUGCGCUAACUCGCAAGAGAGGCAGGCGACCACGGUGGGCUUAGCGACUGGGG